GUCCUAGCAAGUUACACGGAGGAGUGCAGGGAGAAGGAUCCGAACGUGCAAGAGAGCUACUAACUUUCUCUUUCAAGAGGAAGAAAAAUGGAGGCGGACACACUAAUUGACCUGCGGAAAGACAGAAAAUUUUCUUAGAAGAAUAACAGAGAUCUUAGAGGCAAAGGAUCACAUCUUGCUUUGCAGAAAAGAAAAAAGUUUACCAACAUGGUGGAGAGCAUCAGGCCCGAGCCCCGACCACCUACAUUCAGAUCCCACCCACGGCAUAAUUGCGGG
rnacentral:lncRNA from 1 species